GCAUAUCAAUAAGCGGGGGAAAAGAAACCAAACAGGAUUGCCCCAGUAUCGGCGAGUGAAGCGGCAACAGCUCAAAUUUGAAAUCUGGCCCCAGGCCCGAGUUGUAAUUUGCAGAGGAUGCUUUUUGGCGCGGUCCCUUCCGAGUUCCCUGGAACGGGACGCCAUAGAGGGUGAGAGCCCCGUACGGUUGGACACCAAGCCUUUGUAAAGCUCCUUCGACGAGUCGAGUAGUUUGGGAAUGCUGCUCUAAAUGGGAGGUACAUUUCUUCUAAAGCUAAAUAUUGGCCAGAGACCGAUAGCGCACAAGUAGAGUGAUCGAAAGAUGAAAAGCACUUUGAAAAGAGGGUUAAACAGCACGUGAAAUUGUUAAAAGGGAAGCGCUUGUGACCAGACUUGCGUCCGGUGAAUCACCCAGCUCUCGCGGCUGGGGCACUUCGCCGGCACAGGCCAGCAUCAGCUUGCCGUCGGGGACAAAAGCUUCAGGAACGUGGCUCCUCUCGGGGAGUGUUAUAGCCUGUUGCAUAAUACCCUUCGGCGGGCUGAGGUACGCGCUCCGCAAGGAUGCUGGCGUAAUGGUCAUCAGCGACCCGUCUUGAAACACGGACCAAGGAGUCAACCUUAUGUGCGAGUGUUUGGGUGUCAAACCCCUACGCGUAAUGAAAGUGAACGCAGGUGAGAGCUUCGGCGCAUCAUCGACCGAUCCUGAUGUUCUCGGAUGGAUUUGAGUAAGAGCAUAUAGGGUUGGACCCGAAAGAAGGUGAACUAUGCGUGUGUAGGGUGAAGCCAGAGGAAACUCUGGUGGAGGCUCGCAGCGGUUCUGACGUGCAAAUCGAUCGUCAAACAUGCGCAUGGGGGCGAAAGACUAAUCGAACCUUCUAGUAGCUGGUUUCCGCCGAAGUUCCC
rnacentral:rRNA from 1 species